UACGUAGGGUGCAAGCGUUGUCCGGAAUUAUUGGGCGUAAAGAGCUCGUAGGCGGUCUGUCGCGUCUGCUGUGAAAAACUCGGGGGCUUUAACCCCCGAGCCUGCAGUGGAUACGGGGCAGACUAGAGGUAGGUAGGGGAGAAUGGAAUUCCCGGUGUAGCGGUGAAAAUGCGCAGAUAUCGGGGAGGAACACCGGUGGCGAAGGC
rnacentral:rRNA from 1 species